rnacentral:sRNA from 1 species
AGUUUUCAGAAUGAGAUUAUUUUUUCUAAUUUUUACCAGUCAAGCUUUGCUAGCAGGAACUGAGAACAUUCAGAAGUCUGCCUCCAAAGGCAGGAAGUUUACCUAGUUUCAUCUGAAUAGGGUGCAAGGCCAUGCCAAGGGGAAGUAUUUGCAUUAUUCCCUAGCAGAACCUCGUACAAGGCUGCCAACUCCAUCCGCCUAGUGAGGAUACAGUGAUAUUCAGGCCAAAUUGAAUUUCUUCCCCCGGGGAAGAUUAUUUUGCUCCUUUGCUCUCUGUUUUGUUUUAUAAGUAAAAGGUGUGGUUGUGAAAUCCAUCUUUUGUGUCCUGCUGCUGAUCAAUCUCAACAUGACCCCAGGGAGCUCGGGCACAGGGGCCUUUCCCUGACCAGCUCCCCUGUUGUUUCUUAACUGGCUGCCUGGCCACCUCUUGCUCCAGUUGUAAUGACUUUUGUCAUGUAAGCAUGUCUGAAAGGAGUCACAGUCAACUCUCAAGGUAGCCCUUCAAACAAGCGAGUGAUUAUAAGUAUUGAUAUUCACUUCCCACACUACGACAAGAAUCAGCAAAAACAGUAGUUUGGUGUCAGAUACAUUUAGUGACUCACUAAGAUGACAUUAUCAUUUUUUUAUACAUAAAAAUACUUGUAUCUUAUUUAAGAAAAAAAGGAGGUAAAAUAAUUGAAACUGAAAGGGAACGCUUGGGAAUUGUCUUAUUAAUAUUGCUACUUUUUUUUCUCUCUCUCACAGUUAUUUGGGAUCAUGCAAUGUAGAGUGAUUUUUUUUUAAUUCAGGAAAAAAUAAUAAUAAUUUUCCCCUGAUCACACUGCAACAGCUAAUAGGCUUCUAUGCCCUUUUCCCAUUAAUGGCCAGACAUCUAUGUAAAGAGUUUUGAGGUCUGCUCAAGUGAUUGAAGUUGCAGGCUCUAUAGUAGAUGUUAGCAGUAUUCCUAUCUUUUAUAAGGUACUCUAGAUAAAUUAAAUGUGGUUUUCUCCUGAAAGGUGUCCCAGCUGCAUCUCUGGUGACCCCUGCUGAUGUCAUCAAGACAAGACUGCAGGUGGCUGCCCGCGCUGGCCAGACGACAUACAGUGGUGUCAUAGACUGUUUCAGGAAGAUUCUCCGGGAAGAAGGGCCCUCAGCAUUUUGGAAAGGGACUGCAGCUCGAGUGUUUCGAUCCUCUCCCCAGUUUGGUGUUACCUUGGUCACUUAUGAACUUCUCCAGCGGUGGUUUUACAUUGAUUUUGGAGGCCUCAAACCCGCUGGUUCAGAACCAACACCUAAGUCACGCAUUGCAGACCUUCCUCCUGCCAACCCUGAUCACAUCGGUGGAUACAGACUCGCCACAGCCACGUUUGCAGGCAUCGAAAACAAAUUUGGCCUUUAUCUCCCGAAAUUUAAGUCUCCUAGUGUUGCUGUGGUUCAGCCAAAGGCAGCAGUGGCAGCCACUCAGUGAUGAGACAACUGUUGAGUGUGGCAAAACGGCGCCUUGAAGAAAGAGGCCUAGGAGAGCAGCCCUGUAAUGUAUCCAGUCAGCUGCAUGGUGCUGACUGAGCUGAGGAGUCAAACUCUUCUUUCUAUAUGACAUAUACUUGUUUAUAAAAUAAUCAUUUGCCCAGGGAAAAAAACCACAACGCUGUUUCAAGCUUUAGUCUUAUGUGUUGAAAUGUUUUUGUAAGCCUUGGCAUGAAUUAGUGUUCUAGACUCUGCUUUGCACAGCUUGCACUUACAGUGAUUGUACAUAUUGUACAUCUUUGUACAGAGACAUCUUGGCACCUCAUCCCAACAAAUCACAUUUGUAGAAAUGUAAUGCGGUUCUGAGUGGCUUGAAAUGUACAGAAUGUUUUGAAAGUGUUUUAUUAAGAAUCACACAAAAAUAAAUGUAUUAAAAUU